rnacentral:rRNA from 1 species
GAGUAACACGUAUGCAACCUGCCCUCCACAGGGGGACAACCUUCCGAAAGGGAGGCUAAUCCCGCGUAAAUCUCCUGGAGGCAUCUCCGGGGGAGGAAAACUCCGGUGGUGGAGGAUGGGCAUGCGGCGCAUUAGGCAGUCGGCGGGGUAACGGCCCACCGAACCGACGAUGCGUAGGGGUUCUGAGAGGAAGGUCCCCCACACUGGUACUGAGACACGGACCAGACUCCUACGGGAGGCAGCAGUGAGGAAUAUUGGUCAAUGGACGCGAGUCUGAACCAGCCAAGCCGCGUGAAGGAUUAAGGCCCUACGGGUCGUAAACUUCUUUUGUCAGGGAACAAAAGUGGGGACGAGUCCCCAUCUGCGUGUACCUGAAGAAAAAGCAUCGGCUAACUCCGUG